AAAUUUAAUACAAUGGGCUACCUAGCUCAGCUACAGGAUGUUGAUUCCAUGUGAAAUAUUGGAACCAUUCAAGAAGAAUGGAAAGACUGUAAAAUAGUUGAACAUGACUGAACUGUGAAAGGACAAUAGAUGAAUAGAGAAUUGUGGAAUAACAGCACCUGCCUUAGAACAUUACGCUUCUGCAUCCCUGAAGAUAUGCACACCUCUAUUUGGAAACUCAAUGAACAGAAAGCACAACAUUAUUUAAUAUUGUCUGUACCUUCGUCUGAUGUUGCAGCAUGGACCACUAGCACGUUUUUUGUUCUUGCUUCUGUCCUUAAAUGGCCCAAGUUAAUUUGCCUCAGCUGGAGACAGCUCACCCAUCCUGAUAUGGUACCUGCAUGCAUAGAAGAAAAGUAAUGAAAGAAUUCCUGUGGUUUGGGUCAGUAAAUAAAACAGAAAGUCUUUCUGGUGGUUGUGGUU
rnacentral:lncRNA from 1 species